rnacentral:rRNA from 1 species
GAUGAACGCUGGCGGCGUGCCUAAUACAUGCAAGUCGAGCGAACGGACGAGAAGCUUGCUUUUCUGAUGUUAGCGGCGGACGGGUGAGUAACACGUGGAUAACCUACCUAUAAGACUGGGAUAACUUCGGGAAACCGGAGCUAAUACCGGAUAAUAUUUUGAACCGCAUGGUUCGAAAGUGAAAGACGGUCUUGCUGUCACUUAUAGAUGGAUCCGCGCUGCAUUAGCUAGUUGGUAAGGUAACGGCUUACCAAGGCAACGAUGCAUAGCCGACCUGAGAGGGUGAUCGGCCACCCUGGAACUGAGACACGGUCCAGACUCCUACGGGAGGCAGCAGUAGGGAAUCUUCCGCAAUGGGCGAAAGCCUGACGGAGCAACGCCGCGUGAGUGAUGAAGGUCUUCGGAUCGUAAAACUCUGUUAUUAGGGAAGAACAUAUGUGUAAGUAACUGUGCACAUCUUGACGGUACCUAAUCAGAAAGCCACGGCUAACUACGUG